UACGUAGGGGGCAAGCGUUGUCCGGAUUUAUUGGGCGUAAAGAGCUCGUAGGUGGCUCGGUAAGUCGGAUGUGAAAUCUCCAGGCUCAACCUGGAGGGGUCAUUCGAUACUGCCGUGGCUAGAGUUCGGUAGGGGAGUGUGGAAUUCCUGGUGGAGCGGUGAAAUGCGUAGAUAUCUGGAGGAACACCGGUGGCGAAGGCGGCAUCCUGGACCGGCAUUGACGCUGAGGCGCGAAAGCCAGGGGAGCAAACGGG
rnacentral:rRNA from 1 species